rnacentral:rRNA from 1 species
AUGUGGCCAGUGUCACAAAAUCCUAGGCCUGUAGCACCUGAUUAUGUGAGGAUGAAAAUGCCAGGAAGGCCAAGAAAGAAUGAUAGGAAGAGAGAAGAACAGGAGAAACCAAAGGGGAAGAAAAUGAGCAAGCAUGGCAUCAUUAUGAAGUGUUCCAUGUGUGGAAAUCCAGGACAUAACAAGUCAGGAUGCAAGAAGAAUCCUGAGAAAGGCAAGAGGAAGAAUGCACAUCUAGCAAAGAAAAUGAAGAAAACAUUUGAGGUAUUACAUUGUAUUAUAUUUCUCCCUGAUUUAAUUGAUUUUCCAUUAUGA